AACGAACGCUGGCGGCACGUUUUAAGCAUGCACGUCGAAAGGCAGCAGGGGGCAACUCUGUGAGAAUGGCGAACGGGUGAGUAACACGUAGGUGAUCUGCCUUGAGGAUGGGGAUAGCCUGUGGAAACACAGGGUGAUACCGAACGAGCUGACGAGACUUUGGUUGUGUUAGUAAAGGUGCUACGGCACCGUCUUGAGAGGAGCCUGCGGCUGAUUAGCUAGUUGGUGGGGUAAGAGCCUACCAAGGCAACGAUCAGUAGCCGGCCUGCGAGGGUGUACGGCAACACUGGAACUGAGACACGGUCCAGACUCCUACGGGAGGCAGCAGCUAAGCAUCGUCCGCAAUGGGCGAAAGCCUGACGGAGCGAUGCCUCGUGAUCGAUGAAGGUCGAGAGAUUGUAAAGAUCUUUUCUACAUGGGGAAUAAGUCUGGGAGUGAAUGCCCGGAUGAUGACGUUAGUGUAGGAAUAAGCCCCGGCUAAUUACGUGCCAGCCGCCGCUGUAA
rnacentral:rRNA from 1 species